rnacentral:snoRNA from 1 species
CUGCAGCUUAUUAAGCCGACCGGUUCUGCUGCAGUGCGGCUCCGGUGUGCAAAGGCUGCAGACAGUGAUUCUGUGGUUGUGUAAGUCCUCAGCUGCGAGGUGCUGAGGGCUUUAAGGGACCGCUGAGACAAAC